GAUCUUGACUUAACUUUCCUUUGACUUGUUAUUCCUCAAUCCUACUCACCGUCAUCGGAGUAGCUUCAACUCACCAUUAUAUAUACACUCAUAUAUAAUAUCCCUCAUCCAUAUAUUUAAUAUCCCUGCUAUUCUGCUCCUUGCAACACAUUACUGCUAUACUGUACUUGCUUUUCUAAGACGGGCUUCUAAUCGCUUGCUUAAUUUCAGGCCUCAUUUUCACCCAUCUGCACUUGCUGUUUCUUGUUCCGCCUUCUUGAAAAAUAUUAUCACAACUCUGUAGCGCUUUUAUAGACAUGGUCCAGACAUUGGAAGCUAUCAAGGGUGGUGGAGGAUCCAUCAAAGUUGGAACAACUGGAACAAUCAGCUCCCUAAUGUCAAAGGAAUUGGAAUCCAUGAGAUAUGCACCCCGGAAAGCAAUACCAGCAAAAGAUAAAUCUUCUGCAGCUACCAUUCUAGAAUCUGGUGGUAUUACAUCUCCCAAAAGAUUAAGACCACGAUUAUCAGCAGAUGAAGCAAGCAGUAGUAAUAGCAACAAUUUUAGUGAUAGAAAUGGUGACCUUUCAAGGAAAGAGAAACACUACAACAGACGAAGCCAUAAUAUUCCAAUGCUCAACCCUGGUAACGUUUCUGUAGAUGCAACUCCUAUCAGAAAAAAAUCGGACAAAAAGGGACCUUAUUUGGUUGAAAUUGUUGACAUAAAAUGUGGUCACCCAGAUAGGGCAUGGGCAACCCCGCUAGCAAAUCGACUCAAAAAGCUCAGUUUUUCGAAGCUCUCAGAGAGCACUAACUAAACGUGCAAGGUAUUGGUAUCUGCUUUCAGAGACCUAUAACUGAAUCUCGAACUCAUAUUUGGCUGAUUCCUCUUCUCAACAAUGUCCACCAUAGAACACAUGCUUGGUAAGAGCCUGCUGCUUCCUUUCUUCUUUUUAGCAAUUGUAAUCAUGGAGCCAAGUUUUGGCUUCGUACUACCUGCAUCUGUGAGUUUUCGCUCAACGGGUUUCUGUGACAUAAUCUGACUCUUUACUUCUAGCUGCGCAAAGUACUCAAUCUCUUGUGUUACGAGAGAUCCAAAAGUGCCUCUUGUGCCUAUCUGUACUGGUGUUUUCCCCGCCAUUCUCUCAGCAACCGACGAUGUAUUAGAGCUAGAUUUAUACAUCAUCUUCUCUGGGGUAGACCCAAAAGUUCCUCUUGUACCUGUCUGUGCUUGAAGUGAGGUGGUUCGAAGUGGUAUCUUAGUAUGGGAAUUGGCCAUAGGAAGUUUGGUUUUCUUUAUAUAAACGACAGAUCUAUUCUUUCCCUGUGAUGGAUAGGUGGUGAUCUGAUUACUGUGUUCAUGUGUUGGUAGUGACGGCAUUUAAGUUGCUUAAACUCAGUGUGCCAUUUCUAACCACUUGGCAUUCAUAGUAUUGUCCCCCUUCUUUAUCAUGAUUAAUUGGUGUUUUGUGUGAUAUCUUAAAAGCUUCAUAGCUGUUGCUCUGUCUGAAGUUUUUAAAUUUGAAUGUUGGACUGACUUCUGUUAAAUGGAGUAGAGUAGCAUUUAUAUA